rnacentral:lncRNA from 12 species
CCCCCCCCCCCCCCCCCCCCCCCCCCCCCCCCCCCCCCCCCCCCCCCCCCCCCCCCCCCCCCCCCCCCCCCCCCCCCCCCCCCCCCCCCCCCGGCGCCGCUUCCCGGGGGCGCCCGGCGGCACCGGGCCCGGGGGGCUCCGUCCUGCGCCGCUUGGGCGCCCGCGGGCACGGGCUGCUCCGUGCAGCGCCGGUCUCCUGGAGCAGCUCAGCGCGGCUGUCCCCGAGAAGGAGCUCGGGCUCCUCGAGCUCCGUCACUACGAAGUCCCGCGGAGAGUUUUUGAUAGUGCCGCGGAAGCCGGUGUGCUCCGUCAGGUAACUGAAGGACGGCAGCAUGGCUGCGGCCUGCCCCGCUCCCGGCCAGGCCCGCCGCGCCUGCAGCGGCCGGGGAGGAAAAAGGGAGGGGCGGAAUAGAACCAAGUGCUCCGAAAAAAGGCAGGGAGGGAGGCAGGCAGGGAUAGAUGGAUAGAUGGAUAGAUGGGUGGAUGAAUGCAGGGAUGCGGUCAGGGAGCGAGGCAGAGCCGGUAGCCCGCGCACCCGGAAGCCGCCGCCAGGGGGCGCCACGGCCUCCUCCCCGCACUCCCACCAAAGGGGCCCACGGACGUUACCAAGUUCCCCAGGGCCGGGGGGAAAGACAAAG